UACGUAGGUGGCAAGCGUUAUCCGGAUUUAUUGGGUGUAAAGGGCGUGUAGGCGGGACUGCAAGUCAGGCGUGAAAACUCGGGGCUCAACCCCGAGCCUGCGUUUGAAACUGUAGUUCUUGAGUGCUGGAGAGGCAAUCGGAAUUCCGUGUGUAGCGGUGAAAUGCGUAGAUAUACGGAGGAACACCAGUGGCGAAGGCGGAUUGCUGGACAGUAACUGACGCUGAGGCGCGAAAGCGUGGGGAGCAA
rnacentral:rRNA from 1 species